rnacentral:rRNA from 1 species
UACGUAGGGUGCAAGCGUUUGUCCGGAAUUAUUGGGCGUAAAGAGCUCGUAGGCGGUCUGUCGCGUCUGCUGUGAAAACUCAGGGCUUAACCCUGAGCUUGCAGUGGGUACGGGCAGACUAGAGUGCGGUAGGGGAGACUGGAAUUCCUGGUGUAGCGGUGAAAUGCGCAGAUAUCAGGAGGAACACCGGUGGCGAAGGCGGUUCUCUGGGCAUGACCUGACGCUGAGGAGCGAAAGUGUGGGGAGCGAACAGG